rnacentral:rRNA from 1 species
AGCAGCCGCGGUAAUUCCAGCUCCAAUAGCGUAUAUUUAAGUUGUUGCAGUUAAAAGCUGUAGUUGAAAUUUCGGCGCGGUCGUCGGGUCGGCUUUGGCUGUACUCGACGCGCCGCGCUUACUUCUGGAGCGCCAAUGUGCCCUUUACUGGGUGCGUUGGCCGCGCCAGGACUUUUAUUUGAAAAAUUAGAGUGUUUAAAGCAGGCUAUCGCUUGAAUACAUUA